GCUUCUGUGGCGCAACUGGUUAGCGCGUGACGCUGUUAACGUCAAGGUUUCGUGGUUCGAGUCCACGCAGGAGCG